rnacentral:rRNA from 1 species
UACGUAGGGUGCGAGCGUUGUCCGGAAUUAUUGGGCGUAAAGAGCUCGUAGGCGGCUUGUUGCGUCUGCCGUGAAAAUUCACAGCUCAACUGUGGACGUGCGGUGGAUACGGCAGGCUUGAGUCGGUAGGGGAGACUGGAAUUCCUGGUGUAGCGGUGAAAUGCGCAGAUAUCAGGAGGAACACCGGUGGCGAAGGCGGGUCUCUGGGCCGAUACUGACGCUGAGGAGCGAAAGCGUGGGGAGCGAACAGG